UAGGGAAUCUUCGGCAAUGGGGGGAACCCUGACCGAGCAACGCCGCGUGAGUGAAGAAGGUUUUCGGAUCGUAAAGCUCUGUUGUUAAGGAAGAACGAGUGUGAGAAUGGAAAGUUCAUACUGUGACGGUACUUAACCAGAAAGGGACGGCUAACUACGUGCCAGCAGCCGCGGUAAUACGUAGGUGGCAAGCGUUGUCCGGAUUUAUUGGGCGUAAAGCGAGCGCAGGCGGUCAAUUAAGUCUGAUGUGAAAGCCCCCGGCUCAACCGGGGAGGGUCAUUGGAAACUGGUUGACUUGAGUGCAGAAGAGGAGAGUGGAAUUCCAUGUGUAGCGGUGAACUGCGUAGAUAUAUGGAGGAACACCGGUGGCGAAAGCGGCUCUCUGGUCUGUAACUGACGCUGAGGCUCGAAAGCGUGGGGAGCGAACAGG
rnacentral:rRNA from 1 species